CCUACGGGUGGCAGCAGUAGGGAAUCUUCCACAAUGGGCGAAAGCCUGAUGGAGCAACGCCGCGUGGGUGAAGAAGGUCUUAGGAUCGUAAAACCCUGUUGUCAGAGAAGCAAGUGCGUGAGAGUAACUGUUCACGUUUCGACGGUAUCUAACCAGAAAGCCACGGCUCACUACGUGCCAGCAGCCGCGGUAAAACGUAGGUGGCAAGCGUUAUCCGGAUUUAUUGGGCGUAAAGGGAACGCAGGCGGUCUUUUAAGUCUGAUGUGAAAGCCUUCGGCUUAACCGGAGUAGUGCAUUGGAAACUGGGAGACUUGAGUGCAGAAGAGGAGAGUGGAACUCCAGGUGUAGCGGUGAAAUGCGUAGAUAUAAGGAAGAACACCAGUGGCGAAGGCAGCUCUCUGGUCUGUAACUGACGCUGAGGUACGAAAGCGUGGGUAGCGAACAGGAUUAGAUACCCGGGUAGUC
rnacentral:rRNA from 1 species